rnacentral:rRNA from 1 species
UACAGAGGUCUCAAGCGUUGUUCGGAUUCAUUGGGCGUAAAGGGUGCGUAGGCGGCGCGGUAAGUCGGGUGUGAAAUUUCGAGGCUUAACUUCGAAACUGCAUUCGAUACUGCCGUGCUUGAGGACUGGAGAGGAGACUGGAAUUUACGGCGUAGCGGUGAAAUGCGUAGAUAUCGUAAGGAAGACCAGUGGCGAAGGCGGGUCUCUGGACAGUUCCUGACGCUGAGGCACGAAGGUCAGGGGAGCAAACAGG